CUCUGGCCCUGGGGCUCCUGCUGCUGCCUGUCACGAAUUGCCAGUUCCUGCUCCAGGACAUGUCAUGCCAUAUAUUAUCCUGAUGACCUUAGAACCACCACAGAAUGCCAUCAGGGCCAGAGGGCAAAACCUUCUCUGGCUCCACAGAGAGGAUUAGCGGAAUACUCCUAAAGUGACUUGAAAAUUAAAGGCACAAGCACCUUUGGGAGAGACCCUGACCAAGAAAAGGGUCAGUCACUAUCUUUCAUCAUCUUGCUGGAAGACUGAGGGAGCAACAAACCUUUAACAUCUGAACUUCCAGGAAAGGGCUGGACAAUACAGAACACAUCUUUUUGGGAAAAUUCAGGACUGGGAGUGUGUUGGGAUCACCCUGUAAGAAAUAAAAAUGCUGGUGG